rnacentral:rRNA from 1 species
UACGGAGGGUGCAAGCGUUAUCCGGAUUCACUGGGUUUAAAGGGUGCGUAGGUGGAUCUGUAAGUCAGUGGUGAAAUCUCCAAGCUUAACUUGGAAACUGCCGUUGAUACUAUAGAUCUUGAAUGCUGUGGAGGUGAGCGGAAUAUGUCAUGUAGCGGUGAAAUGCGCAGAUAUCAUUUGGAACGCCAAUGGUGAAAACAGGUCGCUGGGAGUGUGCUGACGCUGAGACACGAAAGCCAGGGGAGCAAACGGG